AGGAAGGUAGUGUAGUUAACACCUGCAUUAUUUGACGUUACCUACAGAAGAAGCACCGGCUAACUCCGUGCCAGCAGCCGCGGUAAUACGGAGGGUGCGAGCGUUAAUCGGAAUUACUGGGCGUAAAGCGCAUGCAGGCGGCCUGUUAAGUCAGAUGUGAAAGCCCGGGGCGUUAACCUCGGAAUUGCAUUUGAAACUGGCAGGCUAGAGUCUUGUAGAGGGGGGUAGGAAGUUUCAGGUGUAGCGGUGAAAUGCGUAGAGAUCUGAAGGAAUACCAGUGGCGAAGGCGGCCCCCUCGGACAAAGACUGACGCUCAGAUGCGAAAGCGUGGGGAGCAAACAGGAUUAGAUACCCUGGUAG
rnacentral:rRNA from 1 species